CGCUGACGGCAUGCCUUACACAUGCAAGUCGAACGGCAGCAUGAUCUAGCUUGCUAGAUUGAUGGCGAGUGGCGAACGGGUGAGUAAUACAUCGGAACGUGCCCUGUAGUGGGGGAUAACUAGUCGAAAGAUUAGCUAAUACCGCAUACGACCUGAGGGUGAAAGUGGGGGACCGCAAGGCCUCAUGCUAUAGGAGCGGCCGAUGUCUGAUUAGCUAGUUGGUGAGGUAAAGGCUCACCAAGGCGACGAUCAGUAGCUGGUCUGAGAGGACGAUCAGCCACACUGGGACUGAGACACGGCCCAGACUCCUACGGGAGGCAGCAGUGGGGAAUUUUGGACAAUGGGCGAAAGCCUGAUCCAGCAAUGCCGCGUGUGUGAAGAAGGCCUUCGGGUUGUAAAGCACUUUUGUCCGGAAAGAAAUGGCUCUGGUUAAUACCUGGGGUCGAUGACGGUACCGGAAGAAUAAGGACCGGCUAACUACGUGCCAGCAGCCGCGGUAAUACGUAGGGUCCAAGCGUUAAUCGGAAUUACUGGGCGUAAAGCGUGCGCAGGCGGUUGUGCAAGACCGAUGUGAAAUCCCCGAGCUUAACUUGGGAAUUGCAUUGGUGACUGCACGGCUAGAGUGUGUCAGAGGGGGGUAGAAUUCCACGUGUAGCAGUGAAAUGCGUAGAGAUGUGGAGGAAUACCGAUGGCGAAGGCAGCCCCCUGGGAUAACACUGACGCUCAUGCACGAAAGCGUGGGGAGCAAACAGGAUUGGAUACCC
rnacentral:rRNA from 1 species